AAGGUCGAUAACAAUGGUUUCCGUAAGGUGAACCUGCGGAAGGAUCAUUAAAAGAGAAAAGGGCUUCGGUCCUGACCUCCAACCCUUUGUUUACCUUACCACUGUUGCCUCGGCGGGAUCGUUCGACGCCCUUUAACGGGGCGCCGCCGUCGGCCUUCAAACGCUUUCGAGUGCCCGCCGCCAGGCCCAAUCUAAAACUCUUUGUAAACCCAGGUCUUUCUGAGAGUAAAAUUUUAAUACAUUCAAAAAG
rnacentral:misc_RNA from 1 species